rnacentral:tRNA from 1 species
GGAGACGUGACCGAGUGGCCGAAGGUGCUCCCCUGCUAAGGGAGUAGGUGCGCUAAAACGCGCCUCGAGGGUUCGAAUCCCUCCGUCUCCUCCA